UACGUAGGGGGCAAGCGUUAAUCGGAAUUACUGGGCGUAAAGCGCACGUAGGCGGCUUUGCAAGUCAGGUGUGAAAGCCUGGGGCUCAACCCCAGAAGUGCAUUUGAAACUGCAGAGCUUGAGUCUUGGAGAGGGUGGUGGAAUUCCGAGUGUAGAGGUGAAAUUCGUAGAUAUUCGGAGGAACACCAGUGGCGAAGGCGACCACCUGGACAAAGACUGACGCUGAGGUGCGAAAGCGUGGGGAGCAAACAGG
rnacentral:rRNA from 1 species